rnacentral:pre_miRNA from 1 species
AGUGCAAUUUCUGGGUCAUAUGGUAAGUUUAUGGUUUAACUUUAUAGGAAACUGCCAAACUAUUUUCCAGAGUGACUGUACCAUUUUGAAUUCUUAGCAGCAAC